AUGCCAUGUUCGGGCUGUUGUGU
rnacentral:snRNA from 1 species